rnacentral:rRNA from 1 species
UACGGAGGGUGCAAGCGUUAUCCGGAUUCACUGGGUUUAAAGGGUGCGUAGGCGGGUAUGUAAGUCAGUGGUGAAAUCCCCGAGCUUAACUCGGGAACUGCCAUUGAUACUAUAUAUCUUGAAUAUCCUGGAGGUCUGCGGAAUAUGUCAUGUAGCGGUGAAAUGCUUAGAGAUGACAUAGAACACCCAUUGCGAAGGCAGCUAACUACGCGAUAAUUGACGCUGAUGCACGAAAGCGUGGGGAUCAAACAGG